AGAAUGCCAAAUAGGAUAUAAUACAGAGGAAAAUGGAGUUCCUUGUGAACCGUGUGGUCCUCGUAAUUACGGCAAUAAAUGUACAAGCAUCUGUAAUUGUUCCGAAACUGAAAGAUGUAACCAUGUUAAUGGCUCCUGUACUUCCGAAGAACAAAGCACCACACUAAGUCCGUAUGUUUCUACAGAUACCACCUCAGAUGAAAUCAACAUAAAAAGUACGAGUGGAACUACUAUUAACAGGAAA